AUUGAACGCUGGCGGCAGGCCUAACACAUGCAAGUCGAGCGAGCGGCGGACGGGUGAGUAAUGUAUGGGGAUCUGCCCGAUGGAUGGGGAUAACUACUGGAAACGGUUGCUAAUACCGCAUACCAUCGGAUGAACCCAUAUGGGAUUAGCUUGUAGGUGGGGUAAAGGCUCACCUAGGCGACGAUCCCUAGCUGGUCUGAGAGGAUGAUCAGCCACACUGGGACUGAGACACGGCCCAGACUCCUACGGGAGGCAGCAGUGGGGAAUAUUGCACAAUGGGCGAAAGCCUGAUGCAGCCAUGCCGCGUGUAUGAAGAAGGCCUUCGGGUUGUAAAGUACUUUCGGCAGGGAGGCGUUACCUGCAGAAGAAGCACCGGCUAACUCCGUGCCAGCAGCCGCGGUAAUUC
rnacentral:rRNA from 1 species